rnacentral:rRNA from 1 species
GACGAACGCUGGCGGCGUGCUUAACACAUGCAAGUCGAGCGGUAAGGCCCUUUCGGGGGUACGACGAGCGGCGAACGGGUGAGUAACACGUGGGUGACCUGCCCUCAGUUCUGGGAUAAGCCUGGGAAACCGGGUCUAAUACUGGAUAUGACCUCAUGACGCAUGUUGGUGGGGUGGAAAGCCUUGUGCGACUGAGGAUGGGCCCGCGGCCUAUCAGCUUGUUGGUGGGGUGAGGCCUACCAAGGCGACGACGGGUAGCCGGCCUGAGAGGGCGACCGGCCACACUGGGACUGAGACACGGCCCAGACUCCUACGGGAGGCAGCAGUGGGGAAUCUUGCGCAAUGGGCGAAAGCCUGACGCAGCGACGCCGCGUGAGGGAUGACGGCCUCGGUGUAAC